GCGGAUGUGGUGCACGGCGCACCGCUGCAUUCUAUAAUUUGAGUACGAUAGGUGUAAGAGCAGUACAACGGGGUUCGAGUCCCCGCGUCCGCG